rnacentral:rRNA from 1 species
GUGAAUUGCAGAAUCCCGUGAACCAUCGAGUCUUUGAACGCAAGUUGCGCCUGAAGCCAAUAGGCUGAAGGCACGUCUGCCUGGGCGUCACGC